AUUAGUUGCAAAAUUGCAACUUACGAAAUGGCAAGUCGCAAAUUAGUUGCAAUUUUGCGACUAACUAAAGGGCAAGUCACAAAUUAGUUGCAAUUUUGCGACUACACCAUAAUUCUAGCGGUUAAUAAAUUGGCUUCUUCGGUUAGCGACCAACCUACCUUAGUUAGCGACUAAUAGGUUAAUUGUGAAAGUUUAAGGAUAAAAAAACACAUAUUUUUCUUACAACAAAAAAAACACCCACACGAAACCACUUAAACAAAAAAACACCUACCUUACCUCACACACCUUACUCACCCUCACCCUCACCCUCGUUGAUUCACUGCUUCGUAUGUUCGUAGGCUCGUCGCUGGACUCGCUGCUCUUCAUUCGACUUCCCUCACUUCGCUAAAUCGCUAGACCCAAGUCACGCCGCUGAUGAGGAGACACAAACCAACCAACUUGAGUAUAUUUCUAUAUUACAGCAGCACGUAGUCGACAUUAGUAUUGCAUCGAAUGUGAAUCUGGUGGAAAGAGCACUACAGGAUUGUCACAACCCAGUUUAUCGAUGGUGUGAAUUGCCUCCAUCGAAGGUGUUUGUUGAAGGGUUUAAUGCUCGUGAGGAAGGAGACACACCCAUAGAGCAAUACUGCGACUACAAGUUGCAUAUGAUGCAUGGACCACCGCCACUCUCCAGAGGCCAGCCUUCUUUCUCCCGUGCCUUCAUAAGCACUUCUGCAAGCUUCCACUGGACUCCCAAGCCGCUGGAGCGGGUACAAAAUGUAUACCGUUACAAGAUUUUUGCUCCGGGUGGCAUAUCUGCCAUAGACACACUGAAAAAUGAUUACAAAUAUAAACCGAUUGAAGAAAUCACUUUUGUUGGCUCAAUUCUCCCCUGCUACAUACAUUCCGCGCAACACUUUGAAGUCAACCGCAGAUCCUCACCUCAUAAUAUUAGAGACUUUGCAUAAGGAGAGAGUUGUGGUUAAUGAAGUAUAUUAUAUCAAUUCUUCUUUCUCUCCGGGUCCAUAUUUGAUUUGUGGAGACAUUCAUCCAGUACACAAUUACAUGCCUUCUGAUUUGAAGCACACUGUUCUGUAUCCCCCCUUUGUUCCUAUGGAAUACCGAGAUUAUUAUGUAGAUUAUUUUCCUCCUAACCGAUGAGAAGUGAUCUGAGUAUGGAUGAAGCCACAACAUCUUCCAUGUGGUCAUCAAAGUCAGACAACCCAUCGUUGGAGUCUUGGUCCAUUUUUGGCAGAUUUUGGGACAAAGAUGAAGAUGAUGAACAAAGCUGCGGAACUAACUUCUCAAUGAUCUAGGAUUACUGUUUUUUUUUUUUUUUUUUUUUAGGAUUUUCUGGGUCUGUAGUUAAUCUAAAACUAGGCUAACUCAUUGUGCUGUGUUCAUGGAAGUGUAAAUUUUUUGAACUAGUUUGGUGAUUUUUGGUGAAAAACUUGUGUAUUUGUUGUGGCUGAGCAAAACAAUUGACUCUGAGUGUAAAUUAUUUGGUCAUGUGCAUUCUGUGAUUUUCAAUUUCAUCACCUCCCUGCACCUUGGUGCGAGGGGUGGUCUUUUACAUUUAUCGAGAGUCUUUAACAAGUCUCAUUUAAGUUGAAUUGCACAGCUUGUUGUUGGUAAUAUUAUCAGGAGGGUGCUGCACAUUAUUGAGGAGGAUCUAUCUCUUGCUACUACCACUAUAGGUAACCUGAACAUUUCAGUUGGAAGUGACGACGAUGAUGAUGGUCGUGACAGAGAUGAUCAUCCUGUGCUAUCAGCUGUAGCCGCUGCAGCAAGGAGCACUUUGCGUCCACAAUCGUUGCAGAUUAUUCUUGCGGAUGUACCUGAUGCAGCUGCUGCUUCCCACACUUCUUCAUCCGGGGUUUGAUCUGAAGGGAAAAGCAAAUGCGAGUAGUACUAUUUACAUAUGGAUGUCUAUAUGCUUUUUUAAUUGGAGCUCCAGGAAGUAGAGUCUUUUGAAAUUGUCUUUUGCAGUUUGUUUAUUAUGAUUUGUAUUUGAUUUGAUUGCAUCUUGUUGUGUCUCAUCACAAUCUAUUUGAUGUUCUUUGCAGAGGGUUUUCUUGGAAGGGAAUCCUUACUUUCUUGGAAUCACAAUGGUUGUCUCGCUCUUUCAUUCUUUGUUUGACGUUUUGGCCUUCAAGAAUGAUGAUACGGGAUGAGGUUGGUGAAUCUAAAACGACAAGGGAUAAGAUGUUACUUGAGCUGGAGCAAGAGUGCUUAGACGUAUACAUGAGAAAGGUUGAUCAAGCAAACCACUGUAGAGCUUAGCUAUGGCAGGCUAUUGCUGAUUCGAAGGCGGAGCUUGCAGCCAUCUGUUCUUCGUAGAGAGAGCGACCACUACCUAUUACUUCCUCCGGAUCAUAUUGACUUGUGCAUUUGGAUUUUUUGAUACUAUUCACAUGUAGUUAGAAUUUUCUAUAUAUGUAUCAAUAUAUAAGUAUGAAUAUAGUCAUGUGUAGUCUUGUUUGAUUCGUUUUGAUGAGUACAUUAUUAAUAUGUAAUCGCUAUAAUUUUUACAAACAUACAAUUCUAGGUAAUAAUGAUAUAAAAUGUGCAUUGGGUUGCG